rnacentral:lncRNA from 10 species
GGAGAAGGCAAAGUGCAGAGGAAGGAGGAGCCACUGCUAGUGGGUACGAGGUUUCUUCUUGGUACAAGGACUUCUACGUUCUGUCCUCCUGCAGCCAUCUAAAAUCAGCCAGAAAGGUUUAGGAUCCCAUUUCCUGUUCUUGCAUCGGCUGUCCAAGCUGCUGUUCCUCUCUCCGCAGUAAGAGGGUGUUUCUCUCCCUGUUCAAGAGGAGCACCAACACUUGAGGACAGUAUCAUCCCUAGACCUUGGCAAGAGAGACCACUGAGUGAGGCAUCCAUGGAACCCAAGGAAGAGGCCUACGAAGAACCUGCAGUCACCUUCUAGACCAUUCUCCCUCACCAAACUGUCCCCUCCAGAGAGCUGAGGACUGGAUCUUCCCAUGCUGACACCUCCAGUGGGAAAGAAAAUUCUAGAUUCAGCUCUGGGUGUCCAAGUCAUUAUGAAGGCAUAUUUGUCAAGGUGGAAGAAAAGGACAUAUUCUAUUUAGCAGUUUGUAAGUUUGAUCGAUAACUUUAAAAUAUUUGGACCUAU